rnacentral:rRNA from 1 species
CAGCAGGCGCGAAAACUUUGCAAUGCACGGAAAGUGUGACAGGGUCAUCCCGAGUGCCCACCGCUGAGGUUGGCUUUUACCCAUUCUAGAACGCUGGGGGAAUAAGGAGAGGGCAAGUCUGGUGCCAGCCGCCGCGGUAAUACCAGCUCUCCGAGUGGUGUGGACGUUUAUUGGGCCUAAAGCAUCCGUAGCUGGGUGAACAAGUCCCCUGUUAAACCCACCGAUUUAAUCGUUGGUCUGCGGGGGAUACGUGCUCGGCUAGGGGACGAGAGAGGCAGACGGUAUUCCCGGGGUAAGGGUGAAAUCCUAUAAUCCCGAGAACACCACCGGUGGCAAAGGCUGUCUGCUAGAACGCGCCCAACGGUGAGGGAUGAAAGCUGGGGGAGCGAACCGGAUUAUAUACCCGGGUACUCCCAUCUGUAAACGAUGCAUACUAGGUGUUUGGACGGCCACGUGCCGUUCUAGUGCCACAGGGAACCUGUCAAGUCUGCCGCCUGGGGAGUACUAUCGCAGGAUUGAAACUUAAAGGAAUUGGCGGGGGAGCACAG